CGCCGGCUGGGAGCACAAAAGGCGGAGCCGCACUUGAACGCAGCAGCAGCAAACUUUAAAGCGGAGGUGCGGCGUCUCGGUGGACACACGGCGGGACCUCAGCGCGCGCUCAGCGGCCCACUUCUGCCUCACAGAACCGAACCGGAACGCCAGCGGACAUGCCUGCCACAGAGAAGGACCUGGCGGAGGACGCCCCCUGGAAGAAGAUCCAGCAGAACACCUUCACGCGCUGGAUCAACGAGCACCUGAAGUGCGUCAACAAGCGGAUCAUGGACCUGCAGACCGACCUGAGCGACGGCCUGCGCCUCAUCGCCCUGCUGGAGGUGCUGAGCCACAAGAGCAUGUACAGGAAGUACCACCCGAGGCCCACCUUCAGGCAGAUGAAGCUGGAGAACGUGUCAGUGGCCCUGGAGUUCCUGGAGCGGGAGAACAUCAAGCUGGUCUCCAUAGACUCCAAAGCCAUCGUCGAUGGGAACCUGAAGCUGAUCCUGGGUCUGGUCUGGACUCUGAUCCUGCAUUACUCCAUCUCCAUGCCCAUGUGGGAUGGCGAGGAUGAGGAGGCGGAGUCAAAGACGCCGAAACAGCGGCUCCUGGGCUGGAUUCAGAACAAAGUUCCUGAUCUGCCCAUCACCAACUUCAGCCAGGACUGGAGGGACGGCCGCGCCCUGGGAGCGCUGGUGGACAGCUGCGCACCAGGUCUGUGUCCAGACUGGGAGACCUGGGAUUCGGUGAAGCCGGUGGACAACGCCACUGAGGCCAUGCAGCUGGCUGAUGAUUGGCUGGGAAUCCCACAGGUGAUCGCCCCGGAGGAGAUCAUCGACCCCAGCGUGGACGAGCAGUCCGUCAUGACCUACCUGUCCCAGUUCCCCAAGGCCAAGCUCAAACCCGGAGCUCCGCUCAAACCCAAACUCAACCCCAAGAAGGCCCGAGCGUACGGACCCGGAAUCGAACCCACGGGGAACAGGGUUCUACGUCCUGCAGUGUUUACCGUGGACACGUUCAGCGCCGGUCAGGGGCAGGUCACGGUCUACUUGGACCAUCCUGACGGCACCAGGGAGGAGCUGAAGGCGGAGCCUAACGAGGGCAAGAAAACCCUCAGCGUCACCUACAUACCUCAGGUCAUGGGACCUCAUAAGGUGACGGUGCUGUUUGCGGGUCAGCAGAUUCCCAAAAGCCCGUUUGAGGUGAACGUGGACAAGGCGCUGGGCGACGCCUCCAAGGUCACAGUGAAGGGUCCCGGAAUUGAACCUGUGGGCAACAUCGCCAACAAACCCACCUACUUUGACAUCUUCACUGCAGGCGCUGGCACUGGAGACGUCACCGCCAUGGUCCGGGACCCUCAAGGUCGCCAGAACAGCGUGGAGGUGAUGAUGGAGGACAAAGGGGACAGCGUGUACCGCUGCACAUAUCGGCCCACGCUUCCGGGACCGCACACCGUCUCCGUCACCUUUGGGGGGGUGGGAGUCCCCAGAAGCCCCUUCACUGUGGACGUGGGUCCGGGUGAGGAGACGGUGUCUCUUUGUGUCGAAACCUCAGCAGUCGUGUGGCUCAUGAGUGACGGCUCUGUUUGCCUGCUGCAGCCUGCACGCCGGGCGCCUGCAGAGCCACGGGGCGGGGCCUGCAGCCGUCAGGCCUGAGGGUCGAGCAGGUCGGGGACUUCCGAGUGGACACCAGGAACGCCGGCAGUGGAGACCUGAAGGUGUUCAUCAAAGGACCCAAGGCCGCGGAGGAGCCGCUGAAGCUGGUCUCCAGUCAGAACGGCGUGUUCUCCUACGAGUACUACCCCAGCAGUCCCGGCCGGUACAGCGUGUCCAUCACCUGGGGGGGCCAGCACAUCCCAAAGAGCCCGUUUGACGUGGCGGUGGGUGCAAAGGCGGGGCCUCAGCAGAUCAGGGCCUGGGGCCCUGGCUUGGAGGGAGGCAUUGUGGGUAAAGCCGCCACCUUUGUCGUGGAGUCAAUCGGCCCGGAUGCAGGAGUUCUGGGUUUCGCCAUCGAAGGACCCUCCCAGGCUAAAAUUGAGUGCGAGGACCAAAACGACGGUUCAUGUGACGUCCGCUACUGGCCAACAGAACCUGGCGAGUAUGCCAUCCGUGUGACCUGCGACGAAGAGGACAUCGAGCUCAGCCCCUUCAUGGCCCACAUCGUCCCCGACACCAACGUCAACCACCCGGAGAAGGUCCAGGCUCAGGGACCAGGACUUGAGAAGAACGGCUGUCUGAUUAACCAACCUGCAGAGUUCACGGUCAGCGCCGAGAAUGCUGGGAAAGGACCUCUGACCAUCACAGCUCAGGACGCAGACGGGCUUCCUGUGGAGGUGAAGGUGCGCAGCAAAGGGGACGGCCUGUACAGGUGCGCCUACACGCCCACCUCCCCCCUCAAGCACACCGUGUCCGUCACCUGGGGAGGCGUCAGCAUCGCCGACAGCCCCUUCAGGGUCAACGUGGGGAGGGGGAGUCACCCCAACAUGGUGAAAGUGUUUGGUCCUGGAGUGGAGGACGGCCUGAAGGCCAACGAGCCCACUCACUUCACCGUGGAUUGUUCUGGAGCUGGAGACGGUGAUGUCAGCGUGGGCAUCAAGUGUGACGCCAACAUGGUCGGCGAGCGAGAGGCCGACGUGGAAUUUGACAUCAUUUCCAACGCCAACGACACGUUCACGGUCAAAUUCGUCCCUCCCGCCGCUGGGAGGCUCACCGUCAAAGUUCUGUUCAACGACAAGGAAGUUCCCAUGAGCCCCUUCGUGGUCAAAGUCAAUCCCUCCCACGAUGCAUCCAAGGUCAAAGUAGAAGGUCCAGGAGUGGCUCGCUCUGGUGUGGAGAGCGGGAAGCCGACCCAUUUCACCGUGUUGACCAAAGGGGCCGGAAAGGCCCCCCUGGAUGUCACCUUCUCCUCCAAGGUCAAAGACUUUGACAUCAUCGACAACUACGACUACUCCCAGACCGUCAAGUACACUCCUGUUCAGCAGGGAGAGAUGAACGUGGUCGUGACGUUUGGAGGAGAUGCCAUUCCCAAAAGUCCGUUCACGGUUGGAGUCGCUGCUCCGCUGGACCUCAGCAGGGUCACCGUGGACAACCUGGAUGCAAGAGUGGAGGUCAAUCAAAAGCAGGAGUUUUUGGUGGACACCAAGGGAGCAGGAGGUCAAGGUCAUCUGGAGGUGGAAGUGCUGAGUCCCAGCCAGAGGGCGGUACCGUGCAACGUCCGGCCGCAGGCGGGGAGAGCGGAUGCCAGCGUGGUCCGCUACACGCCGACGGAGGAGGGGGUCCAUGCCGUCAAGGUGUCCUACGACGGACACCCCGUGCCUGGGAGCCCCUUCCCGGUGGAGGCCAGCCUGCCCCCAGACCCCAGCAAGGUGAAGGCGUUUGGCCCCGGCCUGGAGGGAGGUCUGGUGGGAAACCCGGCUGAGUUCACCAUCGACACGACCGGCGCCGGCACCGGAGGUCUGGGUCUGACGGUGGAGGGACCGACUGAGGCCAAGAUCGAAUGUUCAGACAACGGCGACGGGACCUGCUCGGUGUCCUACCUCCCCACCGAGCCCGGGGACUACCUGGUCAACAUCCUGUUUGAGAACGCCCACGUCCCGGGCUCGCCUUUCAGAGCCGACAUCCAGAUGCCCUUUGACCCCUCCAAGGUGGUGGCAUCGGGGUCUGGGCUGAAGAGAGCCAAGGUUGGAGAAACCAGCGUCGUAAACGUGGACUGCACCCGCGCCGGACCGGGAGAACUGAGUCUGGAGGCAGCCCUGGACUCGCCGUCUUCAGGGAGGAAAGCCAAGACUGAGGUCAUCAGCAACAACGACGGCACGUUCACGGUCACCUAUGUUCCCACGACCGCCGGCAUGUACACGCUGCUGCUGAAGUACGGAGACCAGACGGUUCCCGGGUUCCCGGCCAAGGUCCCGGUGGACCCGGCGGUGGACACCUCCAGAGUGAAAGUGUUCGGACCCGGAGUGGACGGACAAGCUGUUUUCCGGGAAGCCACCACGGCGUUCACGGUGGACGCCCGAGCUCUGACCCGGCGAGGAGGAGACCACGUGAAGGCAGAGGUCAGGAACGCAUCAGGGAAGCUGACGGAAAGUGUGGUGACCGACAACGCCAACGGGACGUACGACGUGGAGUACACUCCCUACGAGAACGGCGUCCACAGCGUCCAGAUCCUCUACGACGACGCCCCCGUUCCCAAAAGCCCGUUCCGGGUGUCGGUGUCAGAGGGGUGCGAUCCCAGCAGGGUGGUGGCUUCUGGCCCCGGCCUCCUGGAGGGUCUGACUGAUCAGCCCAACCACUUCAACAUCGUUACCAGGGGGGCCGGUAUCGGGGGGCUUGGCAUCACUGUGGAGGGCCCCUCCGAGUCCAAGAUGUCCUGCAAAGACAACAAAGACGGCAGCUGCAGCGUGGAGUACGUCCCGUUCACCCCGGGCCUCUACGACGUGAACAUCACCUACGGCGGCGAGCACAUCCCAGGAAGUCCUUUCAAGGUCCAAGUGAAGGACAUCGUGGACCCCAGCAAGGUCAAGGUUUCCGGUCCAGGCGUGGGAUCAGGGGUCAGAGCAAAUAUCCCACAAUCCUUCACUGUAGACUGCAGGAAGGCGGGCGUAGCCCCACUGGCUGUGGCUGUCACCGCUCCGAAAGGCGUGGCAGAGCCCGUGGAGGUGACGGACAACGGGGACGGGACUUACACGGUCGCCUACACGCCGUCCGUGGAGGGAGCGUGCAGCGUGUCCAUCAAGUACGCAGAGGAGGACGUCCCCCGCAGUCCCUUCAGGGUUCGGGUUUUACCAACCCAUGAUGCCAGCAAAGUGCGGGCCAGCGGCCCGGGGUUAACCAGCGGCGUCCCUGCCAGCUUUCCCGUCGAGUUCAGCAUCGAUGCCAGAGAAGCCGGUCAAGGCCAACUGAGCGUGCUCAUAACCGACCCGGACGGUAACCCCAAGCAGCCUCGUAUCCAUGACAACGGGGGCGGUACAUACCUGGUGUCUUACAUCCCCGACCGAACUGGACGCUACACCAUCGUCAUCAAAUACGGGGGUGAUGACAUCCCGGCGUCGCCCUUCAGGGUCCGCGCCACAGCGACCGGAGACGCCAGCAAAUGCAGCGUCAGCGGGGUGGGUCCCACUGUGGCCAUCGGUCAGGAGAUGAGCCUGGCGGUGAACACGAAGGGGGCGGGAAAGGGGAAGGUGUGCUGCGUGGUGGUCCAGCCGGACGGCAGCGAGGUGGAAGCAGAGGUGGUGGAGAACCCUGACGGCACUUUUGACAUCUUCUACACGGCGCCAGCCCCCGGCAACUACGUCAUCUUUGUCCGCUUUGGCGGGGAAAACAUCCCACGCAGCCCCUUCAAAGUGAUGGCCACAGAUGAGCCGCCCGUCUCGCAAAAGCAAGCGCGGCAGCAGGCCUCUGCCGCUGGCGUCGGCUUCCAGCCAUGGGCGACCUCGGACAGCUUCCAGCUGGACAGCAGCAGCAUCAACGGCAGCGGCUUCAAGCCGUUUGACAUGGUCAUCCCGUUCUCCUUCAGUAAAGGAGAAGUGACCGGGGAGGUCCUGAUGCCCUCAGGGAAGUCUGCGCAGCCGCAGAUCACACACAAUGCAGACGGGACGUUCACUGUGCAAUACGCCCCCACCGAAGCCGGCCUGCACGAGAUGCACAUCAAAUACAACGACACGCACAUUCCAGAGUCGCCUCUUCAGUUCUACGUGAACCACGCCAGCAGCCCCAGUGUCACCGCCUACGGCCCCGGCCUGAGUUACGGCACCGCCAACAAGGUGGCCACCUUCACCGUCUACACGGAGGACGCCUCUGAAGGGGGUCUUGACUUGGCCAUCGAGGGUCCGUCCAAAGCGGACAUCAGCUGCGUGGACAACAAAGACGGGACGUGCACGGUUAGCUACCUGCCCACGCUGGCCGGACGCUACAACAUCCUGGUCAAAUACAACGACGAGCACAUCGCCGGCAGCCCCUUCACCGCCAGGAUCGCCGAGAAUAACCAGCGGCGCUCACAGGUGAAAGUGGGCUCAGCCGCAGAUUUCUGCCUGGACAUCAACGAGACGGACCUCAGCCUGCUGACCGCCAGCAUCAGGUCGCCCUCGGGCCGCGACGAGCCGUGUCUGCUGAAGAGGAUGCCCAACAACCACAUCGGCAUUUCCUUCAUCCCCCGUGAGGUCGGCGAGCACCAGGUCAGCAUCCUGAAGAACGGCCGACCCGUCCCCAACAGCCCCAUCACCAUCAUGGUGGUCCAGUCCGAGAUCGGUGACGCCAGUCGGGUCAAAGUUCACGGCGAUGGCCUGGUCCGGGGCACCACCUUUGAGGACGCCAGCUUUGUGGUCGACACGCAGGAGGCCGGGUACGGCGGUCUGGCUCUGGCCAUUGAAGGCCCGAGUAAGGUGGACAUUCAGACACAAGACCUGGAGAACGGCACCUGCGGCGUCACCUACUGUCCAACUGAACCGGGGAACUACAUCGUGUCCAUCCGCUUCGCCGAGCAGCACGUUCCAGGAAGUCCCUUUACGGUGCGAGUGACCGGCGAGGGCCGCAUACGGGAGAGCAUCAGCCGGCGCCAGAGGGCCGCGUCCCUCGCCAGUGUUGGAAGUGUGUGUGACCUUAACCUGAAGAUCCCAGUGAGUUGGUUCCUCCUGGUCUUGUCUCAACAACUCUUCUCUCACACCUCCUUCUGCUCCCUCUGGCUGCCGGGGGGGUCCCGCUGCGGCCCGGCUGGCAGCAGGGGGGCGAGCCAGAGCUGCUCUCCCGGGCGGGUCCGACUCAUUUCGGGCCUCUCUGGUCUGGUGCUGACGGGCGGAGCCAGAACGGCGCGCGGCGUCUGGGUGGCCGACGCCCCCGACUCAGGCGGACGUGUCGGGGCGGAGGCCAUCGACCCGCAGGAUGUCUCUGCCACCGUCACAGCGCCCUCUAGAGCCAGUCAGCCCGCUGAGCUGGUUGCUGUUGGCAACGACACCUACUCUGUGCGCUUCGUGCCAACCGAGAUGGGCGUGCACUGCGUGAGCGUGAAGUACAGGGGCGUGCACGUGCCCGGCAGCCCCUUUCAGUUCACCGUGGGCCCGCUGGGAGAGGGCGGGGCCGCCAAGGUGAAGGCUGGAGGUCCGGGGCUGGAGGGAGCCAUGGUUGGAGAGCCAGCUGAGUUUAGCAUCUGGACCAGGGAGGCCGGCGCUGGGGGGCUGUCGGUGGCGGUGGAGGGACCCAGCAAAGCGGACAUCUCCUUCGAUGACCGCAAAGACGGAACCUGCGGCGUGGCCUACGUCGCUCAGGAUCCCGGAGAUUACGAGGUUUCAGUCAAGUUUAACGAGCAGCACAUUCCCGAAAGCCCCUUCCUGGUUCCGGUCGUGGCGCCCGCCAACGACGCCCGGCGCCUCACUGUUGCCGGCCUUCAGGAGUCUGGUCUAAAGGUGAAUCACCCAGCAUCCUUUGCAGUGCACCUGAAUGGCGCGCAGGGCAAGAUGGAGGCCAAAGUGCACAGCCCCUCCGGAGCCCUGGAGGAGUGUGUGGUCACGGAGCUGGACCGAGACAUGCACGCCAUCCGCUUCAUCCCGAGGGAGAACGGCAUCCACACGAUUGACGUGAAGUUCAACGGCUCCCACAUCCCAGGAAGUCCUUUCCAGGUCCGAGUGGGAGAACCGGGACAAACUGGAGAUUCUAGUCUUGUCACUGCGUACGGAGCUGGACUGGAGAGAGGAACCACAGGAGUGCAGUCUGAGUUCAUCAUCAACACCAAAGCGGGUCCCGGGUCUCUGGCAGUGACCAUCGAGGGUCCGUCCAAAGUGAAGAUGGACUGUCAGGAGGUCCCGGAGGGCUACAAGGUGCAGUACACCCCCAUGGCCCCUGGAAACUACCUGAUCAGCAUCAAAUACGGAGGACCCAACCACAUCAGCGGCAGUCCCUUCAAGGCCCGGGUCACAGGUUCCCGCCUCAUAAGUGUGACCAACAUGAACGAGAUGUCGUCCCUGACUCUGGAUCCAGCCGUUCGAGCGUCCAGCAGCUUCGCUCAGAGCGCCGCGCCCAGACCCGGCGGCUCCGACGCCAGCAAGGUGGUGAGUCGGGGCCCCGGACUCAGCAAGGCCUCCGUGGGUCAGGGGGGCAGCUUCACCGUGGACUGCAGCAAAGCUGGGAAGAACAUGCUCCUGGUGGGCGUGUACGGCCCCCAAGCCCCCUGCGAGGAGGUUCUGGUCAAACACAUGGGGAACCUGCAGUACAACGUCACCUACACCCUGAAGGAACGUGGAAAUUACAUCCUGGUUGUGAAGUGGGGUGAAGAUCACAUCCCAGGAUCCCCGUUUAACGUUGUGGUUUCAUGAUGCAGCGUCCGUCUCCAGUCCAGAGGACAGAGCUUCUGCAUGAAGGGUUGGCAGGAUUUCUGACCACAAAGCUUCUCAAAGAACCCUAAGAAACCAUCAAAUCAUCUGAAAACACUAAAGAUCAGAACUCUGUGCGGCAGAAAGCGUCAUGAAAGCACAUUUCUGUCAGAAUCGGACGCAAAGAAACAAAAAAAAAGUCUCUACAUAAAGAAUGUUUCCCUGAAAUGAUCAAAUGUUUUUGCACUUGAUUUGAUUUGAAUGAAGCACGAUUGUAUUUUUUCUAAAUGUUCAAACGGAUUGAAAAACGAUGGAAACUGGAAAACGCCGCACUUUUACAGAAAGGACAGAUGGGAGACGAGCACGUCUGCGUCUUCUGUCCAACGAGCAUCUCAGCUGCAGAGAUCCCUGGAGGUCCAGCCCCAGAGGUCCACCCGUGUGCAACUACUGACCGCUGCUCGUGCCCAUCUCCGCCCAACUCCCAGAAGCCCUCACACACGGGUGUGGCAUCAGUCUGCCGACUCCUCAGCGCGGCGGACGACCGGUUCUGGGGAUCGAACCGCGAUCAGGCCAGGUGAUCCGCUGCACAUCCGGCCUCAGAGCGGACGGCCGUCGUCCUCGUCUUUGUGGCGUCACGUGAGGGCUGCUGCCUUUUCACUGCUACUUCGGAUACGGAAAGGUUUUUCCAUGGGGGGGAGGGGGGGGGGUUACUUUUUAUCAUUGGAGGGGGGUUUUCCUGUGAAACUAAGCGCUGAACUUGAUGUACUGUACAUUUGAUAAUUAAAGUGAACUGGAAAGAAUCAAAA